rnacentral:rRNA from 1 species
UGGGGAAUUUUCCGCAAUGGGCGAAAGCCUGACGGAGCAAUGCCGCGUGGAGGUGGAAGGCCUACGGGUCGUCAACUUCUUUUCUCGGAGAAGAAACAAUGACGGUAUCUGAGGAAUAAGCAUCGGCUAACUCCGCGCCAG